CCAUGCAAUGUCUAAUUACCCAGUGCUGAUCACCCUGGAGAAUAAUUGCAGCCACUGGAAGUGCUCCGAAUUGGCGCAAAUACUUCUUGAAGAACUUGGAGAAAAGCUUUUUGUUCCUCCAGAAGAAGUCAGGGAAUCAUGGCUGUCCCCAGCUGCGCUUCGAGGAAAGAUUUUGAUUCGCAGCAAACUCAAAUAUCGUGAGGUAAGUUCGUCAUUCACAUAGAACCUUAUUGGAAUUUAUUAUGUGAACAUGCCUGCCAUCUAACAGGAAAGUCGUGUGAAUUCCUCGUGCUGGUGUUCGAGUAGUUCUGGGAAAAACACCGCAAAUACAGACUGCGCGGCGCACCUUAAAUUGCUAGCUUGGGAUCGUUCAGCAGUAGAUGCUGUUCAGAAAAUUAUAGAUCGGUGCUUUCCAGUAUGCGGGGCACAAAACGUGCGUUCCUGCGCACUUUCUCCAUCAGAUGAAACAAAUACUUCGGCAACCUCGGCAACAGAGUUUUCCUCACUGGUGUACGUCGAAAAUGUGAAGUUGCCAACUCCCCAUCAGUCCACUUCACUGAAAUCACUGCACUCCUGCUCAUGGAGCGAAUCAAAGCUUGUGAGUCAAGUUGAAGAAAUUGGUAGGGAGCUGAUUGCCGGAUUUGCAAAGCGGCAUAUGUUGAGGUGCUACCCAUCUGCAAAAAGAAUCACGUCAGAUAAUUACGACCCGUCUCUUGCAUGGUCUGUCGGAGCGCAGAUGGCUGCCCUGAACUUUCAGGCUGAUGACAUUUCGAUGUGGAUAAACCGGGGUAAGUUUCUGGCAAACGGGGGUUGCGGGUUUGUACGAAAGCCAGAAUAUCUCAUCGGCUCCAAGCUUGGUCCACCAAAUGUUCCUGCUUGUACGCUCAAUAUCACUGUCGUGGCCUGUUCUGGCUGGACCACUUUCGAAAGAUUCCACUCGUACGAAACACCAACGACCUACAUUCGAGUUAGUUUGGCUGGAAGCAUUCUGGACAAUAAAUCGUGUGUAACUUCUGCCUUCAGCAAACGCAAACAGUUCGGACCUUACGCGCAGCCAUUUUUCAACGAGACCUUUUCGUUUGAUAUUUUUGAGCCAAGACUUUCGACGCUUCUAUUUUCUGUACAUGCUAAGGAAUCUACUGCACACGAUGCUUUCGUAGCACAGAGCUGUUUCCCUGUAACCUUACUUCGUCCAGGCACACGACUUGUACCUUUGUAUGAUCAGUACGGCAAGUACGUUGGUGAGGCCGGUCCGCUGUGCGCGCGUGACCUAUUUCUUCAUAUGCUAUUGUUCCACGUCUUAUCCGAGAUAGUCUCUACUGAUUCUUGGACUUCU
rnacentral:lncRNA from 1 species